AUGUUCAAAUCCCCAUCGACUCAUAUAUGGAUGACAAAGCACAAUGUUGUCGUUAGCAUGAGUUUUAUGGCUCUUGCCGGGGAUCCAUGUGGCCAGUCACAUGGCUUGAUCGAGCGGCCUCCCAUAGAACUUGCACUGCCUCCGCCUAGAUUCCUUGGUGAUAUAUCAUAUAUCUACUUCCGAUCCCCUUUUCUUCACAAAUCCAUGACUCCGAUGUAUUUCCAUGGGUUGCUACAAAAUGCAUGUAUCUCGGUAUGA
rnacentral:rRNA from 1 species